CAACUUUACCAAAUUCAUUGAUGAGCUCCACCAAUUUUCAUGUAGCAUCUUUAGGAUUAUCUAGGUAUAGUAUCAUGUCAUCUGCAAAGAGUGAUAGUUUUACUUCUUUUCCAAUUUGGAUUUCUUUUUCCUUCAUCGCCAUGGCUAGGACUUCAAAAACUAUGUUGAAUAACAGUGGCGAAGGGGUACGUCCCUGAUUCUUCCUGCUUUCACCUUUUCACCAUUGAGUUUAAUGUUAGCUGUGGGUUUGUCAUAGAUGGCCUUUAUUAAGUUGAAGGUUCCCUCUGCCCACUUUUCUGCAGAGUUUUUUUUUUUUUUAUCAUAACUGUUUAGUGAUUUUGUCAGAAGCUUUUUCUCCAUCUAUUGAAAAAUCCUUGCAUCGGAGUUCCCGUUGUGGCGCAGUGGUUAACGAAUCCGACUAGGAACCAUGAGCAAGGGCAGGGACCGAAGCCACAACCUCAUGGUUCCUAGUCAGAUUCAUUAACCACUGCACCACGAUGGGAACUCCCACUUCUCAAAAUUUUUAAUGGAAUUCUCCUGUGAAGCCAUCUGGUCCUGGACUUUUCUUUUCUGUUGGAAGAAUUUAGUCACAGUUUCAAUUUCAGUACUUGUGAUUUGUCCAUUGAUCUUUUCUAUUUCAUCUUGGUUUAGUCUUAGGACGAUUGUACUUUUCUAAGAAUAUGUCCAUUUCUUCUAGUUUGUCUGUUUUAUUGGCAUAUAGUUGCUUGUAGUAGUCUUUUUUAUUAUUUCUCAUUGAAUUUUAUUACAUUUAUAGUUGUAUAACUGUCAUUACAACCAAAUUUUAUAGCAUUUCCAUCCCAAACACUCAGUGCAUCCCCCCACCCCCUAACCUGUCUCAUUUGGAAAUCCUAAGUUUUUCAAAGCCUGUGAGUCAGGAUCUGUUCUGCAAAGAAGUUCAUUGUGUCUUUUUUUUUUAGAUUCCACAUGUAUGUGAUUGCAUUUGAUGUUGCCAUCUCGUUGUCUGACUGACUUCACUUAGCAUGAUAAUUUCUAGGUCAUCCGUGUUGCUGCAAAUGCUGUUAUUUCUUUCCUUUUAAUGGCUGAGAAAUAUUCCGUGGUGUAUAUGUACUACAUCUUCUUGAUCCACUCCUCUGUUGAUGGACAUUUAGUUUGUUUCUAUACUCUAUUGUAUAGAGUGCUGCAAUGAACACUGGAGUACAUGUGUCUUUUUGAGUCAUAGUUCUCUCUGGGUAAAUGCCCAGGAGUGGGACUGUUGGAUCAAAUGGUAAUUCUAUUUUUAACCUUUUGAGGAAUCUCCUUACUGUUUCCAUAGUGGUUGCACCAAUUUACAUCCCCACUAACAGCGUAAUAGGGUUCCAUUUCUCCAAACCCUCUCCAGCACUUACUGUUUGUAGACUUUUUGAUGAUGGCCAUUCUGGCCAGUGUAAGGUGGUACCUCAUAGUAGUUUUGAUUUGCAAGUCUUUAAUAACUAGUGAUCUUGAACAUCUUUUCAUGUGUUUUUUGGCCAUCCGUGCGUCUUCUUUGGAGAACUGUCUGUUUAGAUCUUCUGCCCAUUUUUUGAUGGGGUUGUUUUAUUUCUAAUCUAUAGCAUUGUGGUCAGAAAAGAUGCUUGAUAUAAUUUCAAUUUAUUGAAAUUUACUUAAGCUAGGUUUGUGGCGCAGCAUGUGAUCUUUCCCGGAGAAUGUUCCAUAUGCACUUGAAAAUAAUGUAUAUUCUGCUGCUUUUGGAUAGAAUGUUUGUUCUAUAAAUAUCACUUAUGAUCUCUUGUCUAAUGUAUCAUUUAAGGGCUGUUUUCUUACUGAUUUUCUGUCUGGAUGAUCUGUCCACUGAUGUAAGCAGGAGGUUUAAAAUCUCCCAUUAUUACUGGGUUGCUGUUGAUUGCUCCUUUGUUAAAUGCAUAUAUAUUUACACUUGUCAUAUCUUCUUGGAUUGAUCCCUUGAUCACUAUGAUUCUUUGUCUCUUGGAAUAGUCUUCAAAGUCUGUUUUGUCUGAUAGGAGUUGCUAUUCAAGAUUUUGUUUCCAUUUGCAUGAAGUACCUUUUUCUGUCCCCCCACUUUCAGUCUUAUCCCUAGCUCUGAAAUAGCUCGUUUGUAGACAGCAUAUAUACUAGUCUUGUUUUUGUAUCUAUUCAACCAGUCUGUGUCUUUUGGUUAGAGCAUUUAAUCUACCUACAUUCAAGAUAAUUAUCAGUAUGUAUGUUUUAAUUUGUUUUUGUUUUUGGCUCUCCCCUGGUAGCAUACAGAAGUUCCCUGGCCAGGAAUCAAACCUGUGCCAUGGCAGCAACCCAAGCAACAGCAGUGACAACACUGGUUCCAUAACCCACUGAGCCACCAGGGACUCUGAUAUGUAUGUUUUUAUUGUGGUUUUGUUAACUGCUUUGGAUUUGUUUUUGUAGUACUUUUUUCUUCCCUUCAUUUUUUGUCCUCUUUUGUGAUUUGAUGACUAUCAUGUUAUGUUUGGAUUGCUUUUUCUUUUUGUGUGUGUAUCUUAGAAGUUUUGGUUUGCAGUUCCCAUGAGGUUUUGAUAUAGCAGUCUAUAUAUACAAAAGAUUGAUUUUAGUUGCUGUUCUCUUAAUUUCAAAUACAUUUCCAAUAUCCUGCAUUUGUACUCUCCUUUUCUCAUGAUUGCUGGCUUUAAUAUCGUAUUUGUGUAUAGACGAUUACCUACCUUCACUGCAUGUUUGCUUUUACCAGUGAGCUUUCCCAUUCAUAAAUUUCUUGUUUCUAGUUAUGGCCUUUUUUUUUUUUCCUGCCUAGAGAAGUUCUCUUAGCAUUUGUUGUAAAUCUGAUUUGGCAGUGCUGAAUUCUGUCAGCUUUUGCUUGUCUGUAAAGCUUUUGAUUUCUCCAUUGAGUCUGAAUGAGAGCCUGGCUGGAUAAAGUGCUUUUGGUUAUUUUUUUCCCUUUCAUUGCUUUAAAUAUAUCAUUCCACUUCCUUCUGGCCUUCAGAGUUUCUGCUGAAAAAUCAGCUGAUAAUCUUAUGAGGAUUCCCUUGUAUGUUAUUUGUUGCUUUUCCCUUGAAGAUUUUGACGUUUUGUUUUUAAUUCUUGUCAACUUGACUAAUAUGUGUCUCAGCUUGUUCCUCCUGAGUUUAUCUCCUAUGUGAUGCUCUGAGCCUCUUGGACUUGAGUGUUUACUUUCCCAUGUUAGGGAAGUUUUAAGCUAUUAUCUCCUCUUCAGAUAUUUUCUCAGGCCCUUUCUCUCUUCCUCUUCUUCUGGGACUCCUUUAAUAUGAACAUUGGUGCAUUUCAUGUUGUCCCAGAGGUCUCUUAGAUUGUCUUCAUUUCUUUUCAGUCUUUUUUCUUUAUUCUGUUCUGUGGCAGUGAUUUCCACCAACAUGUCUUCCAGCUCCCUUCUUUGUUCUUAUGCCUCAUUUAUUCUGCUAUUUAUUCCUUCUAGUGUAAUUUCUUAUUUCGGUUAUUGUAUUGUUCAUCUCUGUUCUCUCAGAGUCUUCUAGCUCUUAUGGAAGCACCCAAAGCAUUAGGUUUUAAUGACCCCAAGUUUGAAUGAGACAAUUCCAAAAAGUUAAAAAAUCAAAUCAUGCAUAAAAGCCCACUAUACUUAAUAAUACUACAGAAGAUUAAGAUAUUUGUUCUUUAAAGAAUAUUCCAAUGUGCUGCCUUAGUGUAAUAACUGAACCUAAGCCUUUCCUUAUAAUGGCCCUCCUCUGUGAAAACAAAAACACAAGGUGUCAACUUUUCUAAAUAAUACUGAAAUUAAACAAAAUUCUAUAAGAUAUGAAAAAAAAAAGUCUUCUAGCUCUUUGUUAAACAUUUCUUGUAUUUUCUCAGUCUGUGCCUCCAUUCUUUCUCCUAGCUCUUGGAUCUUCUUUACUAUCUGUACUCUGAAUUCUAUUGCAGAUAUAUUACCUAUCUUCAUUUAGUUAUUCUUCUGGUAUUUUAUCUUGUUCCUGAGCUUGAAGCAUUAUUUCUCUGUUGUCUCAUUUUGUCUAACUUUCUGUUUGUGGUCUCCAUUCUGCAGGCUGCAGGAUUGUAGUUCCUCUUGCUGCUUUUGUCUGCUUCCCCCCCCCCCCCAGUGGGUGAAGUUGGUCCAGGGGCUUGUGAAAUCUUCCUAAUGAGACAAACUGGUACCUUCCCACUGUUAGGUGAACCUGGAUCUUGUCCCUCUGAUCCACAGGGCUGAAUCAAGGGGUAUAUUUAGAAGCAGCUCUGGGCUCAGGAAGUCUUUAGGCAGCCCAUCUGCUGAUUGGUGCAGCAGUGUUUUCACCCUUUCAUUUGGCUGAAGCAUUCCAGCCCUGGACCUGCAGGUGGUUGGGUAUGGCCAGGCCUCAGUGCCGAGAUGACAAUCUCCAGGAGAGACCACACUGGAAAAUGUUCCCUGGGGCCUCUUACACCAGUGUCUUUGUCUCCACAGUGAGCCACAGUAUCCCAGGAGACUCCAACACCUGCAAGUAGUUCUGGCCCAGGCUCCUAUAGAGUCACUGCUUUGCUUUGUAUCCCAGUGCACCUGAAAGCCUGUGUGCACCCUCUAGGAAUGGAGUCUCCCUUUCUUCCAGUCGUAUGGAGCUCCUACACUCAAGACCCACUGGUCUUUAAAGCCAAAUGCCCUGGGAGUUUCUGUUCCUGAUGCCAGACCCCCAGGCUGUGGAGCCUGAUGGGGGGUUGAGAAUGCUUAUUCCUAUGGGAGAACCUCUUACAAUAUAAUUAUUUUCCAGUGUGUGGGUCACCUGCUUGGUAGAUAUAGGAUGUGAUUUUAUUGUGAAAACACCCCCUUAUACCAUCUCACUGUGGCUUAUUCUUUGGCUUUGGAUAUAGAAUAUCUUUUUUGGUAGGUCCAGUCUUUGCCUGAUGGCUGUUGAAGGGUUGUGCUUUUGGUGUUUUCAUGAGAGGAGGUGAGCUCAAGGCCUUCUUCACCAUCUUAUCUCAUAAUCCCUCUCCUAUAAUAACUUUAAUGUUAUGAAUUAUAUUUAUUUGGUUUUAUAACAAUAAAGCAAACUUGGAUUUCUGGGGUAUUUUGUAUAUCACAAAGUGAAGGAGAGCAGGAUUAAGAUGGCAGAGGAGUAAGAAAUGGUGCACACCUUCUCCCACAAACACAUCCAAAAAAAAUUGUAUGUAGAACUGUUUGAAUGGAACAUCUACUGAACAUUGUCAGAAAACCUUACACUUCCAAAAAGAAUAAGAAACCCUCCACAUAACUGGGUAGAACAAAUGGAAGAAAAAGAGAAAAAAGAGGUAUCAGGAUGGGAGCAGCACUCUUGAGAGGGAGCUAUGAAAGAGGAAAGGAAUCCGCACCCUGGCAGGUCAUCUAACUGACAGAUAAGCCAAGACACAGAGGGAACCCCAAAGCCCUGGAGAAGAGCACAGCAGCCAGACUGAGAUAGGCAAAGCAGAGACAGAGUGCUCAAAAAACCAUCGGUACCACCCCCGCCCCAGACACCACAGCCUGAGAUGCUUGGGUGGGGGCUGGGUGUGAGAUUGUACUCUGGAGAUAAGAGAAAUAUAAGCACACAAUGAAGAAAUUCAGGAACCAUUCCCAGUUAAAAGAACAGGAGAAUUCCCCUGAAGGAGCAAACAGUGAAAGAGACCUCACAGUCUAACACCAAGUUCAAAAAGGAGAUAGUGAAAAUACUGAAGGAAUUAAGAGCACUUUAUGAAGGACUUAAGAACAGAUAUGAAAUAAUGCAUAUUAUAAGGGCACUAUAAAAUAUAAAGAGGAGCCAAGAAAAAUUAGAAAAUUCAUUUACAGAGACUCAAGCUGAGUUAAAGACACAGAAGAGCAGGAUGAAUAAUGAAGAGGAACAAAUUAGUGACUUAGAAGACAGAAUAAUGGAAAUCACUCAAUCAGGAGAGCAGACAGAAAACCAAAUAAAACAUGGAAGCAGUAUAAGAAAAUAUAAAGUGGGCCAAUCUAUGGAAAAUAGGGAUACCAGAAGAAAAAGAAUAAGGGGACUGGAAAUAUAUUUGAGGAAAUCAUGGCUGAAAACUUUCCAAAUUUAAAGGAAACAGACAUCAAGAUACGGGAAGUACGGAAGGCCCCAAACAAGCUGAACCCGAACAAACUUGCCUAAGACAUGUUAUAAUAAACAUGGCAAAAGUUAAAGGUAAGGAGAGGAUUCUAAAGGCAGCAAGAGAAAAACAGAGUUAAUUAUAAGAGAACCCCCAUAAUGCUAUCAACUGAUUUUCCUACUGAAACACUUCAGGCCAGAAGGAGUGGCAAGAUGUAUUCAAAGUUCUGAAAGGGAAAAAUUUACAGCCUAGAAUACUCUACCCAGCAAGAAUAGCAUUUAAAAUAGAAGGAGGAGUUCCUGUUGUGGCGCAGUGGUUAACGAAUCCGACUAGGAACCAUGAGGUUACGGGUUCGGUCCCUGCCCUUGCUCAGUGGGUUAACGAUCCGGUGUUGCCGUGAGCUGUGGUGUAGGUUGCAGACACGGCUCGGAUCCCGCAUUGCUGUGGCUCUGGCAUAGGCCGGUGGCUACAGCUCCGAUUCGACCCCUAGCCUGGGAACCUCCAUAUGCCGCGGGAGCGGCCCAAGAAAUAGCAACAACAACAACAAC
rnacentral:lncRNA from 1 species